rnacentral:rRNA from 1 species
CCUAAGCCAUGCGAGUCAUAUGUUCUUCGUGAACAUGGCGUACUGCUCAGUAACACGUGGAUAACCUGCCCUUGGGUCCGGCAUAACCCCGGGAAACUGGGGAUAAUUCCGGAUAACGCAUAUAUGCUGGAAUGCUUUCUGCGUAAAAUGGAUUCGUCUGCCCAAGGAUGGGUCUGCGGCCUAUCAGGUAGUAGUGGGUGUAAUGUACCUACUAGCCGACGACGGGUACGGGUUGUGAGAGCAAGAGCCCGGAGAUGGAUUCUGAGACAUGAAUCCAGGCCCUACGGGGCGCAGCAGGCGCGAAAACUUUACAAUGCGGGAAACCGUGAUAAGGGGACACCGAGUGCCAGCAUCAUAUGCUGGCUGUCCGGGUGUGUAAAAUACACCCGUUAGCAAGGGCCGGGCAAGACCGGUGCCAGCCGCCGCGGUAACACCGGCGGCCCGAGUGGUGAUCGUGAUUAUUGGGUCUAAAGGGUCCGUAGCCGGUUUGGUCAGUCCUCCGGGAAAUCUGAUAGCUCAACUAUUAGGCUUUCGGGGGAUACUGCCAGGCUUGGAACCGGGAGAGGUAAGAGGUACUACAGGGGUAGGAGUGAAAUCUUGUAAUCCCUGUGGGACCACCUGUGGCGAAGGCGUCUUACCAGAACGGGUUCGACGGUGAGGGACGAAAGCUGGGGGCACGAACCGGAUUAGAUACCCGGGUAGUCCCAGCCGUAAACGAUGCUCGCUAGGUGUCAGGCAUGGCGCGACCGUGUCUGGUGCCGCAGGGAAGCCGUGAAGCGAGCCACCUGGGAAGUACGGCCGCAAGGCUGAAACUUAAAGGAAUUGGCGGGGGAGCACAACAACGGGUGGAGCCUGCGGGUUUAAUUGGACUCAACGCCGGACAACUCACCGGGGGGCGACAGCAAUAUGUAGGCCAAGCUGAAGACUUUGC